GAUUUCUGGCCUGAAACUUUUUGCCGGCCACGGUUUCGUGUGUUAGUGCUUGAAGUUCGAGCCAUCCUUCCAAUUGCUGUACGUGUCUCUUCAUUGAUUUGCGUGCGGUAUUGGAUCUUUUACUUUGAAAAAAUUAGAGUGUUCAAAGCAGGCUUUUGCUAUGAAUAGAUUAGCAUGGAAUAAUAAUUUAGGACUUCGGUUCUAUUUUGUUGGUUUCUAGGACUGAAGUAAUGAUUGAUAGGGAUAGUUGGGGGUGCUAGUAUUCAGCGGCCAGAGGUGAAAUUCUCGGAUUCGCUGAAGACUAACUUAUGCGAAAGCAUU
rnacentral:rRNA from 1 species